AAUCGAGCGGCGGCGGGGCCUUCGGGAUGCCGGCUAGCGGCGGACGGGGUGAGUAAUGCCGCAGGAAUCUGCCCUGGAUAGUGGGGGAUAACUCGGGGAAACUCGUAGCUAAUACCGCAUGCCUCCUACGGGAGAAAGCGGCGGGAUCUUGACGACCUCGGCGCUACCGGAUGAGCCUAGGUCAGGAUUAGCUAGUUGGUGAGGUAAAGGCUCACCAAGGCGAGGAUCCGUGGCUGGUCUGAGAGGAUGAGCAGCCACACUGGAACUGAUACACGGUCCACACUCCUACAGGAGGCAGCAGUGGGGAAUAUUGUACAAUGGGCGAAAGCCUGAUCCAGCCAUGCGGCGUGUGUGAAGAAUGUCUUCGGAUUGUAAAGCGCUUGAAGUUGGGAGGAAGGGCAGUAAGCUGAUACCUUGCAGUUUUGACGUUACCGACAGAAUAGGCACCGGCCAAACUUCGUAGCCAGCAGCCGCGGUAAUACGAAGGGUGCAAGCGUUAAUCGGGAAUUACUGGGGCGUAAAGCGCGCGUAGGUGGUUUUGAUAAGUUGGGAUGUGAAAAGCCCCCGGGGCUCAACCUGGGGAAUUGCAUCCAAAAACUGUUCUGACUAGAAGUAUGGGCAGAAGGG
rnacentral:rRNA from 1 species